ACACUUUUCAUUGUAAGGAGCUAUAACG
rnacentral:piRNA from 1 species